rnacentral:rRNA from 1 species
UACAGAGGUCUCAAGCGUUGUUCGGAUUCAUUGGGCGUAAAGGGCGUGUAGGCGGUUUGUUAAGUCAUGUGUGAAAUCCCUCGGCUCAACCGGGGAACGACGCAUGAAACUGGCAAGCUAGAGUACCAAAGAGGGGGGUGGAAUUCCCGGUGUAGCGGUGAAAUGCGCAGAUAUCAGGAGGAACACCGGUGGCGAAGGCGGAUCUCUGGGCCGAUACUGACGCUGAGGAGCGAAAGCGUGGGGAGCGAACAGG